rnacentral:rRNA from 1 species
UACGGAGGGUGCAAGCGUUGCUCGGAAUUAUUGGGCGUAAAGGGUAGGUAGGUGGUCUCAUUUGUCUGGGGUGAAAGCCUUGAGCUUAACUCAAGAAGUGCCCCAGAAACGGUGAGACUGGAGUCCUGGAGAGGGUCGUGGAAUUCCCGGUGUAGCGGUGAAAUGCGUAGAGGUCGGGAGGAACACCAGAGGCGAAAGCGGCGACCUGGACAGGCACUGACACUCAACUACGAAAGCGUGGGGAGCAAACAGG